rnacentral:miRNA from 1 species
UCAUCCUCGUCUCCCUCCCAG